CUCUGGUCCUGCCCAGCGCCCGCCCCGCGCGCCGAGCUGCUCCGCCCCCGCUUCAACCUGGAGCCGGUGGCCGCCGCGCCUUCCUCGGCCCUUCCCAGCCUGCGCCCCCUCACCUCGCAGCCACAGGCUCCUGAGUCCUUAAAGGCGCAGCAGCCCGCGCCCGGCCUUUGCAACCACACAGGCGCAUCGCCAGCCCAGCGAGGAGCCGCAGCCUGCGCUUGGGGCGACAGGGCGGGGGACGAGGUUGCUUCGAAGGGGCCCAGAAGUGUGUAGCGAUGGGUUGCAGUGGUGUCGUUCGUGCAGAUCGGGAACAGAGAAGAGGUCCCUCCUUGCACGUGUGUGUAGCAGACAUGGAAAUACGGUGAGGUCACCGCAUUCGUCGCUUUCUUCAUGCAGCUCCCUCGGCCUGGAACAGCUUCCCCUCGCCACGUUCCCACGGCAGCUCUGCAAAAACAACUCUUCGACGCUAUUCUAGAAGCCACCUGGCUGUAGUGACAUUGUGCCUCUCUGGGCCAGCGCUCCUGUUCCUUGGGGUGGAAUCAUUGACCCCACCGUCUCCCUGGCUGGGCCAGUCUAUGUCAAAAAAUGGUGGCAAUUUAUGAGAAUUUUUAAAACAUUUCCCAUACAAAAACUGUGGUUGAAAUAUCCAACACUGGAAACAUUUCAACCAGCUCUGUAUAAACUGGUUUUAAAAACCCAGCAAAAAUUAUUUAAAAAAAGAUUGACAUGUUGACCAGCACUGGUCAGAAUGGAGUACCUACCAUGGCAGGAUCAGAAAGCAUGGAGCCUACUUACAGACUCCUUUGUCCUUUGCAAGCCACAGAGCCAGCUUUGCAAGGGCACAGGGGAGUUUAUGAUGCAGGCCAAGGGUGUAUAGAGGUCAGAGCCAGUAGGAUCACAAUUUGGACAAGGCACGAAAGAGGGACGUGUACAAGAGUUUACUAUACAUUUUCUCUUCUUCCACCAGCCCAUGACAGAGGGAGGAAUCAAGGCUCAACUAUUCUCUUCUCCAACCUCAAAAUCCUGAAUGUCUCCUUAUCCUUUAUGGUGCCAAACUCGUUGGAAGAAGAGGGCUGAAUUCUUCAUUUAAUUAUGGUUCAUGGCCCAUGGUAUAAAUUCGGGACUAUAUACUCUCAAUAAGACAUUGAUGUCAAUUGGCAGUUUGCACAGAUAUUGUGGAAAGGAUAUGGUCUUUAUGCAGUAACUAAAUGUUUUGUUAUUUGUUCUGUACCUUAUUGUGACAUUCAUCUUCAGUAUGCACCCUUUUUGUUUUAAAUAUGUUCCAAUUUAAGCCUACUGUUGUUUAUGCUCUUUGUUUCUCCUUCCUUUCUCAAUUUCUUCUCAUUCCCUUGUCUUUGGGAAUCUCCUCUGUUCUCUGCAUUCUCUUCUUCCCUGCAGAAAUUCCAGGCUGCACUCCCAUCCUCUUCCCAACCUGCCAACUAAAAUGAUCGGUGAUUAAAUAGUUGAUGAUGGCACUGAAGGGUCAUCCAAAGCAGUGGUUCUCAACCUUUUUUUACCCAGAGACCCCUAAACUUAAAUUGACAAACACUGCAGAAUCCCAACUCCCCAUCAUUAUUUUGUUGCUCAUAAUUUCUUUCACAUUAUUUUAAUAGUUAUCCUGAAUAUUACCGUAGAGAAAUUAUUUGAACAGAUCAACAAAACACAGCAAGUUAAAAUACUGAUAGCUUAUUAAUGCCAGAGAAGUUUUCAAACUGUGGGGCAUGGCCAUCUAGGGAGGCUCAGGGAGGGAGCGCCACCUCCACUCCCUGACUCACUCCAGUGAGCCACCCAGCAGAAAUCGAGGGUGAGGCCAUGACCAAAAAUUGCAGCAUCACUGCAGAAGAGAGAUCUCCUCCUGCCAUCAGAAGGGGUUGCCUCACAGCCAUUGACUCCACAGGCAGCAGCUAGCCAAGGAGACACACCACUGCUCUGCUUUGCUGCAUCAGCACUUCAGGGAGCAUGGCCAAAUGUGCCCCCUCUCACACAUCACCCCUGGUUGCUGAUACAUUUGUGGACCCUCUGGACUAUACUGGCAGACCCUUACCGGUGUGAAGACCACAGGUUGAAAACCACUGCAAAAUCUAUAUUCCAGUCAGCUUUAGAUUAUUACCAAUGCAGCUAGAAAAUCGAAGCUGAGAUUCUGGAGAAUCUAAAUAGGUCAUGGUGACCACGUAAAUAAAUUAUGUGCUGGCCAUA